UAUUCAUUUUAUAUCAAUUCUAGUCAAAACUUUAUACAAAUCAUGUCAAAUUCUAGCCUAUUUUAUCGUUCCAUUUCUUGUCAAUUAUAGCCAUUUGAAUCAAUACAAUCCCAAAUCCAAUCUCUCCAUCUUAACCGUUCAUCUAAUCAAGAUCGAUGGACAAGAUUAAAUCUUACAUCGUUUCCCUUUAAUUUCCCAAAAACCCCCCCACACAAACCCUAUUCUCUAUUCUCUCAUCUUCUCAAAGGGAAGAAGACCACACCGCCUCUCUCUCCCUCACCCUCACCCUCACCCUCACCCUCACCCUCACCAUCACCAUCACCAUCACCGUCGUCGCCCCUCCAUUUCCGGCGAGAUAACCACCAGAAAACUCCCUAGACCGCAGCACAGCCUCCUUCACUCUCCCUCUUCACAAGAAAAAGAGAAGCCGCCGCCUCUCUCCUCCAUUCUCUCCCCUCUUCUCUCUACCUCCUCUCCACGCCGCUGCUCCACCUCCGGCGAGAACCACACACCACCUUCCCCUCUUCUCUCUACUCUUCUUCUCUUUCCUUUGGAAAAUGAGAUCCGCCGAUCUCUCUCCCUCACCACAUAGACCCUCCGCCGAUCUCCUCCUCCCUCACGCCGCAUACCACUCUCUCCAUGCCGGUGGACCACCACCAAACCAUCGCCGCCCCAUUCUCCUCCACUCUCAGUCGCAGCCGGUGAUACCACCACCGCCGCCACCGCCUCCAAGAGACGAGCUCUCCUCACCAUCAUGCAACCACACCGUCUCCAUUUCCCAUCCUCUUCUCCUCCGUGUCCGGCUAGAUACAACAACCACCACAGCGAGCCACUAACGACGACAGCCAGGAGCGAAGUUCAGCGAGGCUAGCAAUGCCAGUGACAACGACGAAAAUAAUCGGAUUGACCGAAAACUUCAAGUUGUCACUUUGAUUGAUGAAAGAUCUUUACAGAUCCGUCACGGUUUUGAACUCAAGACACGAAGAGUUCGCCUGUACAGGGAAGCCAAAAUUUUAUUGUUUUAUUUUAAAUCUUUUGUUUAUAAAUUGUAUUACUUUAUUUACUUGCUUCUCUAUUCGAAUUUGUAAUAAUUUUUGUAAACACACUCUAUAUUAUAAAAUAACUCGGGGGACUAUCUAAGGGGGAGAGGAAUCAAUGUGCUACCUGCAUUUAUUUUAAAUUUAACUUAUCUGUGUGUA